rnacentral:rRNA from 1 species
UACGUAGGGGGCAAGCGUUGUCCGGAUUCAUUGGGCGUAAAGAGCUCGUAGGCGGCUUGGCAAGUCGGGUGUGAAAACUCCAGGCUCAACCUGGAGACGCCACCCGAUACUGCCAUGGCUAGAGUCCGGUAGGGGACCACGGAAUUCCUGGUGUGAGCGGUGAAAUGCGCAGAUAUCAGGAGGAACACCGGUGGCGAAGGCGGCCGUCUGGGCCGACCCUGACGCUGAGGCGCGAAGGCGUGGGGAGCGAACGGG